CCUACGGGUGGCAGCAGUGAGGAAUAGUGGGCAAUGGACGAGAGUCUGAACCAGCCAAGUAGCGUGAAGGAUGACUGCCCUAUGGGUUGUAAACUUCUUUUAUAGGGGAAUAAAAUGUUCCACGUGUGGGAUGUUGUAUGUACCAUAUGAAUAAGGAGCGACUAACUCCGUGCCAGCAGCCGCGGUAAUACGGAGGAUCCGAGCGUUAUCCGGAUUUAGUGGGUUUAAAGGGAGCGUAGGGGGAUUGUUAAGUCAGUGGUGAAAGUUUGCGGCUCAACCGUAAAAUUGCCGUUGAAACUGGCAGUCUUGAUUACAGUAGUGGUGGGCGGUAUUCGUGUUGUAGCGG
rnacentral:rRNA from 1 species